UACGGGGGGGGCAAGCGUUGUUCGGAAUUACUGGGCGUAAAGGGCUCGUAGGCGGCCAACUAAGUCGGACGUGAAAUCCCUCGGCUCAACCGGGGAACUGCGUCCGAUACUGGAUGGCUUGAGUUCGGGAGAGGGAUGCGGAAUUCCAGGUGUAGCGGUGAAAUGCGUAGAUAUCUGGAGGAACACCGGUGGCGAAGGCGGAUCUCUGGGCCAUUACUGACGCUGAGGAGCGAAAGCGUGGGGAGCGAACAGG
rnacentral:rRNA from 1 species